GAGAUUUAAAACCUUCGAGGAUUUGGUUCGGACACAGUCAAACGAGAUUAUCCAGUUUUACCAUCCGAAAAAGGGAGAAAAAUUGACAUUAUAUGGACGGUAAAGUACCGCCUCAAAAGGAUACUCAGGAGCUAGCUCGCGAGUUUCUUAUCGCAAUAUCUUAUUCCGUACCCGAUUCUGAUCCUAAUCCAGAUCGCUCAUCGAAGAUCGUAGACAGUUCGAAUGGGGCUGUGGCUGCAAAUGUCGAUGAAGUCGAAAAAUAUAGGUCUGAACUGAUUUCUAUAUCCAAUGCACAGUCACCUGACGCUCAAGUGCCUCCAGUUGUGCUUGAGAACCACGUAGGUUAGUGGAAACAUAUUUGUAAUGGGAAACUUUAUUACAAUACAGUGGCUGUUGAAGUUUACCAGAAGUUCCCGUUGUAGUGUUGUCUGAUUUUACAGAUAAUGUUGUUUUGCUUUCUAUGUGCUUCUCUCCAUACGAAUGUAAGUAAGGAAAUGUACUUUUGCAGACAUUAUGUUGUGUUAAUAACUCGGAAUUCUGGGUAUGAUGUUCAUCUCGGCCA